UACAGAGGGUGCGAGCGUUAAUCGGAAUUACUGGGCGUAAAGCGUGCGUAGACGGUUAUUUAAGUCGGAUGUGAAAGCCCCGGGCUCAACCUGGGAAUUGCAUUCGAGACUGAAUAGCUAGGGUGCGGUAGAGGGAAGCGGAAUUUCCGGUGUAGCGGUGAAAUGCGUAGAUAUCGGGAGGAACACCGGUGGCGAAGGCGGUUCUCUGGGCCUUACCUGACGCUGAGGAGCGAAAGCGUGGGGAGCGAACAGG
rnacentral:rRNA from 1 species